GUUUGACACGGACCGACGGUGGCAGGUCUUGCCCCUUCGUUCGGCCGCGGUGCCAUGAC
rfam:Pseudomonas sp. HTK17 Contig_5, whole genome shotgun sequence.